GGGCUUUGGUUUGUUACACCUGAUGAUAGUUUCUCUGCCUUGCUAGUGACCUUGGAAUGUUACCUGCUUUUGCCUCUGGAUUGCAUUUGGACCUAGGCUGGUUCUCUGUGUUUGACCUUGGUUUGUUUGAGCUGUGCUUUAUCUGCCACCCUGCCCUCUCGUUUGGAAUCACUGCUGGAGCUGCAAGAGACACACAUCCCAAUAGGCACCAAAUUCCACUGCUUCUCCGCCACUGCUAAAGACACAGAAGCCUCGUAUAUCCGCCCGCCCUAGGAAGCCUUCUGAGGCACACCAGAUGACUGAUUCCAGCUGGUAUGCAGAGAGCGUCAUGGGGGUGGAUCCUUGGUUGGUAGCAGGUGGGUUGUUUGUUUUCAGCGUGGAUUGCCGAUGGCAUAACUCAUGCAAAAGCACAGAUGGAGACUGCUCUGCUCGUCCUGAAGAUGAGCCUGAAACUGAACCAGGGUGAUGAGAAAACUGUGGAUGAAUUUGAAGGCUGGAUUUUGGACUCCCCAAAUACCUGGCCUGUUUCUGAAGUGGAACCGAUGUAUUAGAACUGCCUGGCUGUCCAUUUUUAACUUUCCAAAUGUUGUUUAUGGAGCUCAGAUUGCUGCUGUUUUGAACCCCUUUAUGGCCCUCCCCCCCGCCUCAAGACCAGUGCAUUGUGGGUGUCUAUGUGUGCAUUGAUAGGAAACUGGAAAAAAACCCACAAAGUGAUGUGGAUUAAAUCACUUGGAUAGGAAGAACCCUACUGCAUCAGGCCACUGGCUCAUCUAGUCCAGCACGCUAGUGGCCAACCAGAUGCCCAUGGGAUCUACCUGUCUCCUCACUUGUGAUUCCCAGCAAUGGCAUUGGGGGCCAUACUGACAGUGGAGGUCCAUAGCCCGGAUUGCAGAGCAAGCCAGAUGCACAGUAGAAUGGGGGGGGGAGAGAGAGAAAGGAAUUAGAGACGCAGAAGCAUCCCAAUGUUUGGUCCCCAAAGGUUUGCUUUCCAAGGACCCACCAGCCCUCUAUUUGCCCCCUUGAUGGGGGUUUGCUGGACUGGGGGUCCUUGAGGAAAUUGAAGACACGAGUUUGCAGCAAAGUUAUGCCUUUAUUGGUUACAUGCGGAUGGUCAGUCUCCCUUGAGUGGACGGAGAGCUGCCCCAUAGCACCUCUUGCCUGGGUUUUUAUACAUCCCAGGACAAAGACUUCAGCAUAUACCAAUGAGGAUGAUACACAUCAGCAUUGCACAGGUGUUACACAGAGGGUACAUUAAAAAGAGGGUGCACUGUGUAAGUUAUUUUCUCAGCCAGUUUGGCUAUGUUCAGCACUUCACAGAUCAGUACAUUUUCCUAUGAGGUAAGUACUCCAGCUGAUGAGCUAAUACAGUUCAGCCACUGCAAUCCUUCUUACGUCUUGGAGAUACCGAGAUGUUCAGUACUAGCCUUUUGUUCCUUUUAUCUUAUCUUAAAGAGCUGAAGCUGUGCCAAGCAUUCCAGCUAAG